rnacentral:rRNA from 1 species
AGUGAACGCUGGCGGUAGGCCUAACACAUGCCAGUCGAACGGCCGCACAGUAAGAGCUUGCUCUUACGGGUGGCGAGUGGCGGACGGGUGAGACAUACAUCGGAAUCUACUUUUUCGUGGGGGAUAACGUAGGGCAACUUACGCUAAUACCGCAUACGACCUACGGGUGAAAGCAGGGGAUCUUCGGAGCUUUCGCGAUUGAAUGAGCCGAUGUCGGAUUAGCUAGUUGGCGGGGUAAAGGCCCACCAAGGCGACGAUCCGUAGCUGGUCUGAGAGGAUGAUCCGCCACACUGGAACUGAGACACGGUCCAGACUCCUACGGGAGGGAGCAGUAGGGAAUCUUUGGCAAUGGGCGAAAGCCUGACCCAGCCAUGCCGCGUGGGUGAAGAAGGCCUUCGGGUUGUAAAACCCUGUUUUUUGGGAAGAAAAGCAGCAGGUUAAUACCCCGCUGUUCUGACGGUACCCAAAGAAUAAGCACCGGCUAACUUCGUG